ensembl:lncRNA
CAAUAAUACGAUAUUACAGUGUUAUAACGUGCAUUAAUGGAUUAUUAUGAUUUAUAUAUUUAUAUAGUGGGUUUUAGUGAAUACACGUAAAUACAAAUAAAAAUAAUUCUUCACACAAGUUCAACACAAAAGGUUCCUGGAAAAGGUUUAAUAAAGUAAAGUGAAUGUAAUCAGUAUGUUUGGUGUAAUGUCAGAUCUUUGUGUGGAUUAGAUCAGAAGUGAUAAAGACUCAAACGUGUUCAGCGGUGUUCCUGUAUUAUUAUUAUUAUUAUUAUUAUUAUUAUUAUUAUUAUUACUGCACGUUGAUACAGUUUCUUCACACACUUCCAGCCUGUUCCUCUGUUUAACACACACACACAUACACACACAUACACAAACAAACACAAACAUACACAUACACAAACAUAUAUAUACACAUACACACACACUCACACAUACACAAACACACACACACACAUAUACACACACACAUACACAAACAUAUAUAUACACAUACACUCACCCACAUACACAAACAUACACACACACACACACACACACACACAUAUACACACACACAUACACAAAGAUAUAUACACACACAUACACAAACACGCGCACACACACAAGGUUCACGGUAAAGGUUUAGACCCUACACAAAUAAUAAUAAUAAUAAUAAUAAUAAUAAUAAUAAUAAUAAUAAUAAUAAAACUCCAACAUAAAGUUUUAGUGAAACUCCGGCGGGAAGUUUCUUUCUUUCUUUCUUUCUUUCUUUCUUUCUUCACCUUUUCUUUCUUUUUUCUUUUUUGUCUUUUUGCUCUCAUGACAAAUAAAAAAUGGCGGUCAGUGCACUGUCUUUCCGAAGUUUGUUCUCUCGGUCAAAACUGGAGUCAAAAACAAACAAAAAAAGAACAAACAAAAAUAAUAAUUUAAUUUAAAAAAAACAACAAAAAAACAAAAACAAAACAAAAAAAACGACUAAACACAAACCGCUCGCGCUGUUCCGCGGGUAAAUAAUACUGAUUAUUCUCCGCGCGCAUGAAUGGAGAAGGGGGAAAGAGAGACGGGGGGAAAAUACCGACACACGCACGCACGCACGCACACACACACACACACACACACGCACGCGUGAGUGUGUACAGAAGGAGAAAAUGCGGUGAAUGCGCGCGGAGUGAAGGAGUAAAGGGAAGAAUGAAGAUGGGAUGAAGGGAGGCAGAAGUGGAGGAGUGAAGGGAUGAAGGAGUGGAGGAGUGAAGGGGUGAAGGAGUGAAGGAGUGGAGGAGUGAAGGAGUGGAGGAGUGAAGGAGUGAAGUAGUGGAGGAGUGAAGUAGUGGAGGAGUGAAGUAGUGGAGGAGUGAAGCGGCUCGAACGCGCGUCGGCUCGCAGUCACUUACUUUUCUGUGUCCUGUGACAUGAUGAUGUCUUUUGGACUCCUCGCCGAUAAUUCCUGGAGAAACUGGACUUUCAGGUCGGUGCAGACUCACACACACUCACACACACUCACACACACUCACACACAUACACAGAGGCAGAGAGAGAAAGACAGACAGAGAGAGAGAGACAGGAACACAAACCUGGGCUACAGCCCUGAUUCCAUUGGUCGAGGUGUGUAAGGAGGUCGGGCUGUGAUUGGCUGAGCCAGCACAGGUCCUGAAGGCCAGGAAGUGAAAUCACAGAGAAAUGAUACCAACUGAACGAAAUGUGCUUAACCUCACGGGGAAACAUAACACACGCCGAGGAAAGCGCUAUCUGCCUUCUUCCACACACACCAGCUAACAGAUCAUCACUGUGAUUGACAGGUGAGAGAGAGUAAGCCCCUCCCACCCACAGAGCAGGUCACACCUUUCCCUCUCUCACCUUUUUUGAAGUUGAAGUUAAAGUCACAAGUUCGAAUCCUGAAGAUGUCACAUGGCCGGAAGGCAAGAGACCGAAACCGGCGGUGUUUUCUGGGUGGGAGGGGCUUACUCUCCCACGCCCCUGUCAAUCACAGCGACACGAGCCAAUCACAGGCAUCUGUGAGCUGGAGUAUGAGGAAGAGGACGAGAAGAGGAUACUGUAGACAGUGCCUUCCUGCGAGUUUAGAGUUCUUACUCUGUACUUCAUCGAGUUAAUCCACUCUUUUCGUUUAGAAUUUCACAGAUUUAUGAAUUUAAACGUUCACCUCUUUAAAAAUGUUUUGUUUUUCACGCUUUUAAGAAGGUUCCCUCCCGUUUUAAAGUCUUUUUAGAAGUGAUUUCUGCAGAUUUUUAAUCUCUGAUUAACACGGAACACCCACACCACCACCAUUCCCUCAACUCGUCCAAUCACUCGCCUGCAGUAACCACUUCAUCCUGUAUUCGUAAAUAUUUAUCAUAUGUGCGGCCAAUUUCAAGACAACUACCUCAGCGUACUGUUGCACGGCACAAAUACGCAAUAUUUCUAUACUUUUUUAAAAAUAUUUCCCUUUUUCUAGUCGUAUGGAAGUAAUUGUGGUCUGUGUAAACUGUAUUUUAUGUCACGGACAGUCGUAAAAAGCCGUACUGUGUACGCUUGUGUGCGUGACGGUCGAAGGAUUGAGGUAAAAGUAGAUUUGGGAUCGAGUCGUCAGCGAUCAGCGACGGGCAGCCCUGAGACCCGACACACACGGGGUUUAUCCUGCGCCGCUCGGCGGGAAGCGAGUUUGAUGUGCAGGUGAGCGAGGCUGAAAGGACAGCGUGAUGUCAUGGAGUUGAUUCCGUUGCCGCUUGUGCAACUCGUCGUGAUGUGACUUGCCCUCCACUUAACUGUCAGCGUUAUUUCCCAGAAAUUAGCGAGGGCCGAGUGCCAUUCUCCCACGGUGCUGAGCUGAGAAAGCUUCCACGGAUCAGGCACGGACACGCCGCCAGACCUGACCAGGUAAACCUAACGCCUUCGACACGACACGACCGACACCUCGGGGUUCUACUGAUCCACUCCUGUACCACACACUGGUCUCCUUUCUGAGCUCUCGCUCAUCCCAUGUACGAUCAGACCCGUCACACCUGCUCCGCCCUCCGUUCUCCGUCGGGUUUCAGCCAGGCUCCAUCGGAGAACCCUUUUAAGUUGCACAAGGAACCUUUUACUCUCAAGUUCUUUAGAGAACCUUCUAUUUACUGGUGCUUUAAAGAACCCUGUAAAGAUAUUUCUUCACAGCAGUGCCACAAGCAAACAUGUUAUCAUCGGUUCUCUAACAAAACAAAAAAAACCCUUGGUUAGUGCUUUAAGGAAGCAAAGUAAGGCUCUUAAGAGUGCUGCCUGAGAGGAGAACCUUUUCCAGUCCCACAAAGAACCCUAUAGAGUAUGGUUCAUGUUAAUGUGUUAAGCGAUGAUACCUUGAAGAUCCAAUACACUGCUCUGAAGAUCCUAUAACGAAACAUAACGAACCUCUUUAAUCUCCACGGAGCCGUACAGCUCAGCUCAGGAGCCCUGCAGUGAAAGAUGGUUCCCAUGGUGCUGUAAAGACCCAGAGAAGAGCCUUUAUUUUUAAGAGUGUGAGCUACGUGUGGUGCUAGACAGCUGUUUUAGCUACUUAAUGAAUAUUAACGAACAUUAUCACACACUCGUCGUAAUACGUUAUCGUCGCUAUAGUAACAGUUCAUUCACAGGAACAGCGGUGUACGGCUGCUGUAACGUAAGAGAGAACAGGAACUCACUUUAAAGGUUAAACUUUAAAGGAAAUCUAAUAGGAAAACUGUUUUCUGGUCCGGAAUGCUUGUUUGUGUGUAGGUCCUGGGGGCGGAGCUUUGUGAUCAUGGGCGGGAAUAGGUGGGGGUGUGUGUGGUUUCAAGAAGUUUAAAAAAAAUAUAUUUCAAACAUUUUAACUAAACGGUUAGAGAGCUAAACAUGUGGUAUAAAAUGGACUAAUCUUACCUAGUACACCUUUAAAUGUAACUAUAAACGGAUAAAAAUUACGAUGUGUUGUUCUGUAAUAAACAAAAAGUUGUUUACGGACUGUGUUUUAGGAGUCAGGAUCUGGAGGCUCGGAGUUCAGGACUCGGUCCAGUGUGUGUGUGUGUGUGUGUGUGUGUGUGUGUGUGUGUGUGUGUGUUAGUGCAUUAGAACCCCUGAUCUGCGCUGGACCUUCGGGUCCUCUGCGUAAACACAGCUGCAUUGUGAUCUGGAGGCUGAGGGGCGACACCUUCAGCACCUAAACACACACACCUUUGUUUUCAGGCGUCUGAGACAAAGCACUCGGUCAGUGGAGGAGAUAAUCAGAUUUACUGAGAUCAGAUAAACAUCUCAGUAUCCUGACCUCACACACACACACACACACACACACACACACACACACACACACACACACCUGGUCUGAUCUGUAAUACAAACCUGCGAUAACAUUCAUCAGGCUUUCAUGGCGGUUCUGUCUGAUACACACCAUGUUGUUGAGUCUGAUGUUCAGUCUGAUGCUGAGUCUGAUGUUCAGUCUGAUGUUCAGUCUGAUGCUGAGUCUGAUGUUCAGUCUGAUGUUCAGUCUGAUGCUGAGUCUGAUGUUCAGUCUGAUGCUGAGUCUGAUGUUCAGUCUGAUGUCCAGUCUGAUGUUGACAGAUUGAUGCACAUUGAAAGUUUUUAGGUUAUUGUUCUAAAAAUAAAGAAAACCUUUUCUCUUUAUUAUUUGUUUGUUUGUUUGUUUGUUAUGUCAUCCUGUGUUUACUACAACACUGCGGAGUUUAUCGGAAAUAAAAU